CUGCAAGUUAGAUUUGGCAGAUGGAUGGAGCACCACUUCAGCACCUUCUAGAUAAAUGUGGUUGACUGACAAGUGCUAACACUAUCAGGAACUAGAUGGAGACAGACAUCAUUGAGGCAUCGCCAGAAAAUCAUUCACUGACAUGAAUUAAAAUUCUACUAAGGCUGUGUGGAAACAUGCAUUCAAGAGAUUAAACAAAUCAAUAAGAAAAAGGAACAUUUGUUCUCCAAUUAAACAGGUAAACUUUGAGUCAAAAAGGAAAGACGACAACAAAGAAUUGCUCUCACUCUGAAUGCUGGACUUGAAUCACAGUCAAAAGGCAUCACCCAACUGAAUCUCAAACAGUCUGCAAAAGUAAAGAUCAUGAAGCUGUUUGUCUACCAAUGUCAAUCCUAUCAGUAACCUUCACUGCAGUAGCCAUAAAAUUCAAAUAUUCAAUAUUUGUGAACAAUUCAGAGACUGAUUGGUAUUUAUGUUUUUUAAAAUUUUGAUCUUUUUAGCCUUGUCUUAUUUCUAACAUGUACGUAUGAGUGUUACAUUACUGAUUCUUCUCACAUUUAGUAAUUAAUUCAAGAUGGCAGUGGCGGAGUAUGCAGUGUUUGGGCUCCUCAUUUGUUUUCACUCCUUUUCUUCCUCUCUCUUUCUCUAAGAUUUAUUUUUUCUGAUAAGAAAAAAUACCUUGGAGCUGUUGAGAACUGUAGUGAAGUGAGCUGGAGGGUUACAGUGGAGCAGGGACAGUUGUUGGUAUGUGGUCUGGCACAGGCGCUCAGCGGUUUGAGGUUAGUCAGACCUCGUAUGGUACUCUCUGCGCUGAUCCACUGCGAUGUAUAUCUGUACUUUGUUUAGCUAACUAUAUAAUGUUUAUUCUUUUAACUAUGUCUUGUUUCUACCCAAAAUACUAUGAAUCACUGUAAGGUAAUGCACAUUUUUUAUUCCUCUUUUUUGUAUCAAAGAUUUGCAUCUAGGUACUGUGUACCUAAGAUGGCACCAUGAGAGGUGACAUUGUAAACUUGUCCCUGUACCCCAUA